UUAGUGAGCUUAAGGAAUUUUAGUAUGUAAUAGCAAAGUAUAGCAAAGUACUUGAUUAAAAAAUUAAUCUUGAAUUGCUAGUCUGUAACUAGGUGCAUUCUAAUUUAGCAGGUGAAUAUUCUUUACUUAUCGAUAUAUGAUGGGCUUUUUGCAAAUAGAAACCUUUAUCUGAGUCCCAUGUGUUGCUUGUACUGAUGGGAUGUAUGCUUACAGCAGCUUACUGCUGCUUUAAAAUGUAUAAAAUAUGUUUUGAGUGUUUGCUCAUAACUCUUUCUAACCUCCACUUGUUAAAUUGUCAGACAUUGGUAUUUUAUCAGUCCGCAAUAUAAGUUUGAACUAAUGUUCUUAGGAAUCCAACUUGUACACACACUGUUUAAAAACCCUCAGGGACAGUUUACACACUAUCCUCACUCAAUUCAGGUACUUGUACUCUCUUCUUAAACCUAGCAGUGACUUGUAUUUUGUUUUGCUUUUCUUUUGACGUGCUGAUAGCACAUCCUCGAUGAAUGUCAACUUAAAACUCAGUUCAGGUAUCCAGGUAUAACUCAGCCAAACGGAUUUUAAAGCUGCAUAUUUACUCUCCAGCACACAGUGCCUCAGACACUUAUAGUGGCAUUCUGUAUAUUCAGUUAUUACUACUGAGCAGAUCGUGUGGGGGUUCCUGGUAUGUAUUGUAAGAAAUUCCUAUGUAUAUUAUAUAAUAUGUAUUAUAUUAUAUACAUAUAUAGUAUAUAUGUUAUCUUAAACUUAUAUAUUUUAAAAUGCCACUACUAGCCAGCGCAGCUAAAAACAAAAUACAUUCCCAACUGCCUCUGCGAACUGCAGAGGCAGCUUCUUAACGUGGCUCUUGCUUCUCUCUCACCAUAACUACUUCUAACCUCAAGCACGGGUCCUUGGCUGUCUGACCUCUACACUCUAGUUAUGCAAUGUCCUUAGAGAAUUCUGUGCACUGGCCACUGUGAUGGAAACCAAUGGGCCGGGAGUGCUUUGAGUUUAUUAGUAAUUGUUCUGCCAAAGUUGGUGUUUGUAUGACAAGCGUGUAAACCUGUCAGAUAAUCAGCAGAGGUCCAAGUCGGUAACGGUGCCCCCGUGCCGCGCUCGCAGGGAGGCGGAACCUUAAAGUAAAAUCUGCUGCUCUGCUCUCGCAGUGAUCUGUUGGCAGUUGCAAGUCAGCAACACCUCUGCUUUAUUAUUUGACACUUUACAUCUAAAAAGUCUUCUCUUUCUAUUUAUGUAACCCAUAGUCUUUGAAGAGUAUGGAAAAUGGCAUUUCUCUCUGACCUCUAGAAGUUCAAGUGUCAUGGGAAAAAAAAAAAAAAACAGGAACCCCCCCCUUUACUCUUAUGGACCUCAUUUCAAUAUACUGUUUACAGUUUGACGGAAUUGUAUAAUUUAAUAUUUCUCUUGUACUGUAGUUUAUAUUUAUUUACAGAUUUUUUUGUACUGUGUGAUUUGAAUUUUUGUUCCUUGCUAUGAUCAAUGUUUUAUGUAGUAGAGCACUUAUGAUCACAAAUUAAGGUUUUUGGUUUGAUUGCACUACAUUAAUUUUUUUAAUGCAGUUCUGAUUUUUUGACUGGACUAAAUAAGCUGUGUCUUAAUGUAUGUGAUAAGUACUUUUAAAUUUUUAUUUCAUGUGGUCCAUUUAUUUUUUGCAUUGUAUGUCAAAGCGCUAAUUCUCUUGUUGUGCAUGUGUAAGAUUUAAUGGCUCCAUUGUAUUAUUUGACCAUGUCAUUUUGGAAACACAUUCCCAGCUGUAACGUUGUGUAUGGUAGUUUUCACUGGAUGCUAGACUUUUCAAAACCACUAUUCUUCUAAUAAAUUUUGUUGUGAAAAACU